rnacentral:lncRNA from 1 species
AUGAAGUUAAAAUUAAACACGGAUUUAAAAGGUGUGAUCACACCUCCAGUCUCAUCCUCUUUUCCCAAAAGAACUCCAGGUUCCGAUGCAGAGGACGUCGAGCCUGGACGCCCAAAAGAGAUGGGGGUGGGCGCAAAAGUCACUCACCAACUGGUGGAAGGCGAAUGCCUGUUCUCCAGCGUCUUGGUCCAGGGCUUGUACCAGCUGAUCUGCUCCGCGGCUUUGCCCCAGAACCUCUCGGGGUCGGUCACCGAGGCCGCGAAGUGGGUCUUGUACUCGGCGCCGCCCGAGGACAGCGCCCGGCAGCCCCGGCCCCCGAGAGCGCCCCGCGGGCCGGGGGCCACGGACGCCCGGCGGGCCGGGCCCCUGAAGUCGCACGGUGUUUUUAUUUACUUCUUUUGAAAACAAAGCUCCAUCCCCGGCCACUUAGAACACAAGUGGCUCCGGGGCGAGGGCGGCUCCAGGAUUUCCUGACAGCUGAGAGAGGAGGAGGAGAGGGAGGUUGCCCAACCGAAUUGGGAAGAGCCUCUUGGGGGUGACUGACAGGCCGCAGGGAAGGUGCCCCCCCACCACCACCACCUUGGGAUGGGACCUUCGGAUCGGACUCCCCACGCGAGCUCGGCAGAAAGCAGGACGACCUGUUGCUUUCUCUGUCUUCCCGUUUGCCUCUUUGGAGUUUCUUUGGCCCGGUUUUUGUUGUUGAUGUUGUUGUUGUUGUUUGAUAAGUCAAAAAAAACAAAAACAAAACAAAAAUUUAAGUCAAAAGGAAGAGCAAAGUCAAGAUGAAAUGAAUCAAGAAAGAGGAAGCUGAGGAAACUUUAAAAAGAAAGGCAGGCUGUGUAAGUUACUGCCUGGUGGGCUUAACGUUCUUUAAACUCCUCACUAUUCGGUUUGGUUUGGGGUUUGGGUUUUCUUGGUUUUGUUUUUUUUUCACCCAUUAGUGAAAUUCAGAGUCUGUCUCGUUUGCCUUGUAUUGUGCCACAUGCUGUUUGGUGUGACAGCAUUUGCACUUUUAACGGUAAACGUGUAUGCCCAAAUCCGAGGUUUUGCAAAUAAAGAAUGCCCCGACCCUAGGAAGAUUGUAAACUUGAGAGGCUGUAAACAGAUUUUUUGUAUGUGCAGGAAAAGAAUAUGAAAAUGAAGGUUAAACAGAACAGGGAUAAAUAUAAUAAAACAAAGAACAUAUCUUUAAUCACCUCAGCUCUUUCCUUUCAUCUAAAAAAUGAGACACUAGACUUUUCCUUAACACCUGCAGCCAUAACCUCCUGGCCUCCUCCUCUGCUCUGCCCAGCUGAGUGAUGCCGCUGUCUGGUCUGCAGGAUGCUCUGACCCCAGAUCAUCCUCUGUGGUGUUAAUGUCCAUCUUAGUCAUCUGAGUAACAAAUGUGUUAGCCCCUGCGUUGUGUGAGUUGAGACUGACUUGGGGGGGAUAAAGGAAGAAGGCAGCUCUCUGCUGGCUCCUACUGUGUGCCAACAUUGUGCUGGCACUUUCAGAUACCUUAGCUCCUGCAUUUCCCAACCAGUACUAAGAAGCAGAGGCUGUAAUCCCCACGUUGACCACCUUGAGGCAGUGUGAUGGAGACCUUGGCACUCCUGCAAUUCAGGGUGCACUGACCUGUCAUGUUCGUGCUGCCGCUUACCCCAGCACACAACACAAACACAUUUUCUCUCUGUGCCCCAACUUGGAAAAGGUGGGGACUCUGACUCCAAAGUCCAUGAUUUUCACACCAGGCUAAUGAUUCAAAAGAAGAAAGAUUUUAGACUUCCGGCAAAAUAUAACAAGGUGGCUACCCACAUCCAUUCCUCUUCAUCAUCUUCCUUUUAUUUCUAAAAAAAGAAAGGACAGUGGUGACGGUUGUGGUGGUGACUGUGAUGGUGGUGGUAAAAAAUCUGUAAGAAUGAAGAAAACGUGAGAGGACAACAAGCCAAAUGAGACAAUGGAAAGAAACUAAAUUCAUGAUGUAUGACUUAAGGGGGCAGGAGGGUGGCAGGGGGAAGCUGAAAGGAGAAAAUGGACUUCCUUAUCAGAAACCUGAAAUGUUUCAGCUUUAGGAGGCCCUGGGAUCCUCUGAAAGUUCAGGAUGAAGUUUAAGGACUUAAAAACAAAAGGGCUGAUUAAAAGAUUGUGUAAGACAAGUUAGACCCCCACACUGCUGGGUUAAACUGGUUU